AGUGACUCUAGAAUGCCAUGGAACAAUGCCGUGGAAGUCAUCAGCAACUGGUUUAAGCACGCCCCUGUGGAAGAGAUCUACCCUCCUCUGUAGGCUUGGCUCGCUAAGCCUGGAUGUUUCCCAGAUCCCCAGCAUCUGCAGGAGAGGUUGGCACAAAUACCAGCUGAAGGAAUAUAUGAGCAUGGUGAAGUGGGCAGACAGGAGAAGUCGUGGCCAUCAGCACAGUCAUCUGGCUGGUCACCACUGGAUGACACCGCUCGCAUCCACGAUCGGCUCGCCUAUGCGGAGGAAGGAGAAAGUCUAGUGUACCAUCAGUAAAGACUACUAGGACCAACUCUGAGUCCUGGGUGCUCCGAGCAGCAACAGCUGGGAGCAGAAAAGAUUGGUAUUCAAGAAGGUUCCUGUUGACAUCAUGUUUGACAUCAUAAUGCUUCAUCAUUCUAAAAGCUUAAUGAAAUAAAUUAUUGCUAGAAAAAGAGAAAGAGAGAUCAAACACACUUUUUUUUUUGCACUCAGGGGAAUACCAGAAGCCAACUGGAUAAUGAAGAUAUUGUUUAUCCUUGGUGAUAAAGAAUAAGAAAAUGGACAUUGAAACCAACCAGUGCUGUAAAUAGGUCCAAAUGGCCAAGACUUUCUUUCUCUACCCAAGCACUCAGAGAGAGAAGAAGAACCACAUGGCUGCCAACUAUCACACACUCGGGAAAAAAGAAUUCUUACUCUAAAAGGCAAAAGGAAAUUCUCUUUACAAAAUCAUUUCAUCCAUGUAAGGGAACAGAACAUGUGAACUUUAUAAUUGAAACCAGCCAUAGAACAUUGAGUGGAAAGCUAACAGGAUAUUAAGUACUUGGGGGUAAUUGUGUGAUAAUACAUUCUACAGUGUUUAUAUAAAUAUACCUGAUCUAAUUUCAA